rnacentral:rRNA from 1 species
CCUACGGGAGGCAGCAAUUAGGAAUAUUACACAAUGGGGGCAACCCUGAUGUAGCGACACAGCGUGGAGGAAGAAGGUUCUCGGAUCGUAAACUCCUUUUAUAUGGGACGAAUAGAUGACGGUACCAUAUGAAUAAGUACCUGCUAACUACGUGCCAGAAGCAUCGGUGAUGCGUAGGGUACAAACGUUAUCCGGAUUUAUUGGGCGUACAGAGAAGCGUAGGCGUUUUUGUAAGUCUUGAGGUAAAGACCACGGCUCAACCGUGGAAGAGCUUUCGAGACUGCAAGAAGUGAGACAGG